CCAAUCACAUCAAUCUUAGUCGGAUCUUGUUUUCUUCCAUAAAAUCUAAAAAAAUAUCCAACAAUCACAACCUCUUAUGCUCCAGAUGUAGAUUUUGUUUCCGAUAAUAUAAGAUAAAUUUCUCCAAGUUGAGUCAAUACUUUUUUACAAUCUUGUAUAUGAUCAAUAACAUACUUGUGACACCCCUUCUUAUCUAAAGUUUCAUCCUUGUCUUCUUCUUUGUACCCCUUUAUAAGAACAUCAUCUAGUAAAGGUACAGUUUUCUCUGGAAUAAAAUCUCUCAAUACCUUAUUCAUCUCAUUCAUCAUAUGUGCAAUUGAGUUAGUUGUAUCUUGAGGAAGAGUACACAUUCUAACUAAUCCAAGU
rnacentral:lncRNA from 1 species